UGUUCGGUAAUUACCUUGAAUUAGAACAUGUUAUGUGGAUCAUUUACAUUAGUUUUUCUUGUAUCGUUAGUGAGUUUGGUGUUAUUUUUAAGAAAUAAGGUAACGGGUUGACUUUCCACAGCGGUCCUGGUUGUGGUUAUGUCUUCUUCAGGUAUGCGAACCUGCCUACGUGAGCCACUUUUUUCUAAAUCCUUAAGCUACGAAAAAAGUGUCCUUAACCCUCUCAUCCCUCAACUCCAUCCUCCAUUAUUUUCCUUACCUCCCGGUGAACAAGAAGAAAGGAACUGGCGUUUUGAAGAUUGUUCAAAUUAAUACUUCAACCAAAGUGAGGAUCCACCGGCAGUUUUAUUCACAUAGAUCCAGAAGCUGAAAUUGAAGAUGGCAUGGCUAGACGAUGUCUGCUUGGGAAAAAUGGAGAUUCAAUUCGCUUGUGGGUAACAGGUGUUGCCAGGACAACGCUUCAUAUUCUACGUGUUUGGUUGAAUGAGGACUAUCUAGAUAAGAAGAACAAGAGAUCUAACAAUAAUCGGACUAGAAGAAAGACGCCAGCGUACCAGAGAAAUCUUCAACACCUAAGAAUGAUGCAGCAGGGUAGCUUCAACUAGUAAAGUUUCAUUCGAAUCAUUGGACCGAAUGUUCAAGAUGUAUACGGGUGAUGUUUCAAGGUCGUUGGAGCAAAAGCUGUAUCUUUUCAAUAUAAUAGAAGUCCACCCUUCAAUGUGCUGAAUACAAUAAUGUGCAAGAUAAAAAGGGGCUGAGGCUUAAUUCAAUCAACGAAUCUAAUAGAAAAACCCUCAGGAAUUAUGUCGAUGAAAUUUUCAAUAUUGAUAGAUGAA